UACGGGGGGAGCAAGCGUUGUUCGGAUUUACUGGGCGUAAAGGGCGCGUAGGCGGCCAGCACGAGUCAGUUGUGAAAUCUCCGAGCUUAACUCGGAAAGGUCAACUGAUACUGUGCGGCUAGAGUGCGGAAGGGGCAACUGGAAUUCUUGGUGUAGCGGUGAAAUGCGUAGAUAUCAAGAGGAACACCUGCGGCGAAGGCGGGUUGCUGGGCCGACACUGACGCUGAGGCGCAAAAGUCAGGGGAGCGAACGGG
rnacentral:rRNA from 1 species